rfam:Dracunculus medinensis genome assembly, scaffold: DME_scaffold0000077
GCACGGAUGGCCGAGUGGUCUAAGGCGCCAGACUUAAGUUCUGGUAUCGUGAUCGAUGCGUGGGUUCGAACCCCACUCCGUGCA